UACGAAGGGGGCUAGCGUUGCUCGGAAUCACUGGGCGUAAAGCGCACGUAGGCGGCUUUUUAAGUCAGAGGUGAAAUCCUGGAGCUCAACUCCAGAACUGCCUUUGAUACUGGAGAGCUUGAGCCCGGGAGAGGUGAGUGGAACUGCGAGUGUAGAGGUGAAAUUCGUAGAUAUUCGCAAGAACACCAGUGGCGAAGGCGGCUCACUGGCCCGGUACUGACGCUGAGGUGCGAAAGCGUGGGUAGCAAACAGG
rnacentral:rRNA from 1 species